ACUCAAGUGGUGUAGUGGUUUGAAAGUUGGAUUACAAUUCUGGAGACCAGGGUUCAAAUCCCUGCUCAGCCA